ACGAAGGAUGCAAGCGUUAUCCGGAUUCAUUGGGUUUAAAGGGAGCGUAGGCGGACUUAUAAGUCAGUGGUGAAAUCUCUGGGCUUAACCCAGAAACUGCCAUUGAUACUGUAGGUCUUGAGUACAGUUGCCGUUGGCGGAAUAUGACAUGUAGUGGUGAAAUACUUAGAUAUGUCAUAGAACACCGAUUGCGAAGGCAGCUAACGAAGCUGUAACUGACGCUGAGGCUCGAAAGUGCGGGGAUCAAACAGGA
rnacentral:rRNA from 1 species